rnacentral:tRNA from 1 species
GGGAGUGUAGCUCAUAUGGUAGAGUGCUUGCUUCGCAUGCGAGAGGCACGGGGUUCAAUUCCCUGCACCUCCA